UACGUAGGGGGCAAGCGUUGUCCGGAAUCAUUGGGCGUAAAGCGCGUGUAGGCGGCUCGAUAAGUCCGCUCUGAAAGUCCAGGGCUCAACCCUGGGAUGCGGGUGGAUACUGUCGGGCUCGAGUCCGGAAGAGGCGAGUGGAAUUCCCGGUGUAGCGGUGGCAUGCGCAGAUAUCAGGAGGAACACCCAUAGCGAAGGCAGCUUGCUGGGACGUUACUGACGCUAAGGCGCGAAAGCGUGGGGAGCGAACAGG
rnacentral:rRNA from 1 species